rnacentral:rRNA from 1 species
UGGGGAAUUUUGGACAAUGGGCGAAAGCCUGAUCCAGCAAUGCCGCGUGUGUGAAGAAGGCCUUCGGGUUGUAAAGCACUUUUGUCCGGAAAGAAAUGCCUCUGGUUAAUACCUGGGGUCGAUGACGGUACCGGAAGAAUAAGGACCGGCUAACUACGUGCCAGCAGCCGCGGUAAUACGUAGGGUCCAAGCGUUAAUCGGAAUUACUGGGCGUAAAGCGUGCGCAGGCGGUUGUGCAAGACCGAUGUGAAAUCCCCGAGCUUAACUUGGGAAUUGCAUUGGUGACUGCACGGCUAGAGUGUGUCAGAGGGGGGUAGAAUUCCACGUGUAGCGGUGAAAUGCGUAGAGAUGUGGAGGGAAUACCGAUGGGCGAAGGCAGCCCCCUGGGAUAACACUGACGCUCAUGCACGAAAGCGUGGGGAGCAAACAGGAUUAGAUACCCUGGUAGUCCACGCCCUAAACGAUGUCAACUAGUUGUUGGGAUUCAUUUCCUUAGUAACGUAGCUAACGCGUGAAGUU